rnacentral:misc_RNA from 1 species
GAUGAAGAACGUAGCGAAAUGCGAUAAGUAAUGUGAAUUGCAGAAUUCAGUGAAUCAUCGAAUCUUUGAACGCACAUUGCGCCCGCCAGUAUUCUGGCGGGCAUGCCUGUUCGAGCGUCAUUACAACCCUCAGGCCCCCGGGCCUGGCGUUGGGGAUCGGCGGAAGCCCCCUGUGGGCACACGCCGUCCCUCAAAUACAGUGGCGGUCCCGCCGCAGCUUCCAUUGCGUAGUAGCUAACACCUCGCAACUGGAGAGCGGCGCGGCCAUGCCGUAAAACACCCAACUUCUGAAUGUUGACCUCGAAUCAGGUAGGAAUACCCGCUGAACUUAAGCAUAUCAUAGCGGAGGA